rnacentral:rRNA from 1 species
CGGGAACAGCCCAAACCAACAAGCUUGCUUGUUGGGGUUGUAGGACUCAAAUGUGGUAGUAAGCAAGAUAGCCGAAUGACUUGGAAAAGUCAGCCAAAGUGGGUGAAAGUCCCGUAGGCAAAAUUUUGUGAGCACCUAUGAGUAUCCUGAGUACGGCGGAACACGAGAAAUUCCGUCGGAAUCUAGGAGGACCAUCUCCUAAGGCUAAAUACUCCCUAG